rnacentral:rRNA from 1 species
ACAUACCAAUUGUUGCCUCGGCGGAUCAGCCCGCUCCCGGUAAAACGGGACGGCCCGCCAGAGGACCCCUAAACUCUGUUUCUAUAUGUAACUUCUGAGUAAAACCAUAAAUAAAUCAAAACUUUCAACAACGGAUCUCUUGGUUCUGGCAUCGAUGAAGAACGCAGCAAAAUGCGAUAAGUAAUGUGAAUUGCAGAAUUCAGUGAAUCAUCGAAUCUUUGAACGCACAUUGCGCCCGCCAGUAUUCUGGCGGGCAUGCCUGUUCGAGCGUCAUUUCAACCCUCAAGCCCAGCUUGGUGUUGGGACUCGCGAGUCAAAUCGCGUUCCCCAAAUUGAUUGGCGGUCACGUCGAGCUUCCAUAGCGUAGUAGUAAAACCCUCGUUACUGGUAAUCGUCGCGGCCACGCCGUUAAACCCCAACUUCUGAAUGUUGACCUCGGAUCAGGUAGGAAUACCCGCUGAACUUAAGCAUAUCA